CAAUAGCGUAUAUUAAAGUUGUUGCAGUUAAAAAGCUCGUAGUCGGAUGUCGGGCUCGGGCAGGCUGUCGGCUUCGGUCGGACGGCAGGCUCGGGUCUUUCUGCCUGAGGAUCCAUCUCAUUCACUUGGGGUGGGGACGCAGGCCGUUUACUUUGAAAAAAUUAGAGUGUUCAAAGCAGGCCUACGCUUGAAUACAUUAGCAUGGAAUAAUGGAAUAGGACUUUGGUGCUAUUUUGUUGGUUUAUGGGACCGAAGUAAUGAUUAACAGGGACAGUUGGGGCCGUUUAUAUUUCGUUGUCAGAGGUGAAAUUCUUGGAUUUACGAAAGAUAAACUUCUGCGAAAGCAUUCGGCAAGGAUGUUUNCAUUGA
rnacentral:rRNA from 1 species